AUUGAACGCUGGCGGCAGGCUUAACACAUGCAAGUCGAACGAGCGGCGGACGGGUGAGUAAUGUCUGGGAAACUGCCUGAUGGAGGGGGCUAACUACUGGAAACGGUAGCUAAUACCGCAUACCAUCGGAUGUGCCCAGAUGGGAUUAGCUAGUAGGUGGGGUAAAGGCUCACCUAGGCGACGAUCCCUAGCUGGUCUGAGAGGAUGACCAGCCACACUGGAACUGAGACACGGUCCAGACUCCUACGGGAGGCAGCAGUGGGGAAUAUUGCACAAUGGGCGCAAGCCUGAUGCAGCCAUGCCGCGUGUAUGAAGAAGGCCUUCGGGUUGUAAAGUACUUUCAGCGGGGAGGCGGUACCCGCAGAAGAAGCACCGGCUAACUCCGUGCCAGCAGCCGCGGUAAUAC
rnacentral:rRNA from 1 species